rnacentral:rRNA from 1 species
GCAUAAAGCGUUCGUAGGCGGUCAAUCAAGCCAAUAAGGAAAUCCAUCGGCCUAACCGAUGUAAGCUAAUGGAACUGAGUGACUUGAGUACAGGAGAGGAAAGUGGAAUUCCUAGUGUAGUAGUGAAAUGCGUAGAUAUUAGGAAGAACAUCAGUAGCGAAGGCGACUUUCUGGACUGUAACUGACGCUGAGGAACGAAAGCGUGGGGAGCGAACAGGAUUAGAUACCCUGGUAGUCCACGCCGUAAACGAUGGAUACUUGGUGUUGGCCGUAAAGGUCGGUGCCGGAGCAAAUGUAUUAAGUAUCCCGCCUGGGGAGUACGGUCGCAAGGCUGAAACUCAAAAGAAUUGACGGGGACCCGCACAAGCAGCGGAGCAUGUGGUUUAAUUCGAAGCAACGCGAAGAACCUUACCAAAUCUUGACAUAUCAAAGCUAUCUGAGUAAAAUUGGAGUUCCAUUUGGACUUUGACUACAGGUGGUGCAUGGUUGUCGUCAGCUCGUGUCGUGAGAUGUUGGGUUAAGUCCCGUAACGAGCGCAACCCUUAUUUUUAGUUGCUAACAAGUAAUGUUGAGGACUCUAGAGAGACUGCCGAUGAAAAAAUCGGAGGAAGGUGGGGAUGACGUCAAAUCAUCAUGCCCCUUAUGAUUUGGGCUACACACGUGCUACAAUGGCCGGUACAACGGGUAAGCGAAGGGGUGACCUGGAGCCAAUCCUCAUAAGCCGGUCCCAGUUCGGAUUGCAGAUUGAAACUCAUCUGUAUGAAGUUGGAGUUGCUAGUAAUCGCGGAUCAGAAUGUCGCGGUGAAUGCGUUCCCGGGUCUUGUACACACCGCCCGUCACACCAUGGAAGUUGGAGGCACCCGAAGUCUAGUGUAACUGCCCCGAAGGUGANAAUCGAUAACUAGGGUGAAGUCGUAA